GGAGAAGUGGAGAACCCACGCCGCGUGAAACACAUGUGAAACACAACGGUACUUUUUCUCUCAGUAUCUAGUAUGUCCGCGUCUAGUUGAAUUUUGAAAGAAUUGUUCUACUACUCACAAAUUCACACCUGGAGAAUUAUUUUACUACUCUCGACUCUCGAGUGAAUCCGUCAUCCAGAUCUCACUAAUUACUAAACGAGAAAAUAAAAAGGGAAAUGGGCUGUUUUAAACCGAUAAACGGGACCGUCUCUUCCACCAACCACCGUGACUCAUCCUCACUGCCACCAUCAGAGUCACCGUCUUUCUCACCAAUCACUACUACUCCUUGCCGAACACAUGAGGAUUUUGUUAUUUUAUGACUGAAUCAACACAAUUUUGUUGCCAGUGCAGAAGACUGAAUUCCUCGAGGAUCUUCUAGUGGUUCUGCUGUUGCCGGUGGUGCAAGGUGGUGCAAAGAUUGUUGAUUUCUCUUUAGGAAUUGAUACAGCAGCAAGUGCAAGAAUGCCUACAUCAUUUUGUGGAAUUUUUAGAACUGAUUCAGCAGCAGGAAUUGAUAUAGCUUCCUAAAUUGUUGAGCCCUUAUUCUCUGAAGUGAUUUUCUUAUUCUCAUAUUCACAUCUAGGAUGUUUGCUAGGGAUCCAAAGAUUCUUUUGCAAUCUCCACAGGUCACACCUGUUAGACCUACUCAGGUUGUCAUUGCAUAGGAUUGUUUUCAGCUUUCGACUCUUCCUUACGAUGUAGUUCCACAUACUGUCAUCAAAGCAGUACAAAAGUUGUGUGGAGCUGCAGAUGAUGUAAUCAGACAUGAAAUCCUUGGUGAAUAUAUGAAGGCUAAAGUUUUGGGUUUGAAACAUUUCAUGAGUGAAGAAAACAUAAAUCAAGUAUACAAGAUACCAUCACUCGCUGCACUUUCAAGUUAUCUUACUAUUUAUGACAUAGGUAUGAAUUUAAGAAUAACCAUGGUGAAAGGAUCAAUGCAGUCAAACCUGAUUUAGGUCCCAGAAUUUUAGAACGUGUAUCACAACAGGGGAGCCUAUUGAUAUUUGUCAUUCUAUAAAAGGGGAUUGCAUGGUGCUCUUACUUCUCUUCUUGGGGUAUUCUUUUUCUCUCACACCCUUGGCAUGCAUUGUUUGUCUAUAAGUCAGUUUAAUAGUUUGUGUGAAAAUUUCAGGAUUUCGGUGUUCUCGUGAUCCCGUUCCAGCUUGUUAUACAAUUGAAAUAGCUUCUUUGGGAUUGAAAGUUUGAGGUGAUGUUAGGAGGUGUUGUUGUGUGGUGUCUACUGAUGUUUAUGAGAAUUUGUUGUUUUUUCCAACUAUUCAGUUGAUUAAGAAUAGGUACAGAUUGAUGUUGUUGGUUGAGAGAGGGAAAAAUGUUAUGAGUGGAAUAAGAAAGUUAGAUGGGUUAAUGUUUUUGAUCCCGGUGAUGAGUUUCCUGAGCCUGCCGAGUAUAUACUGAUUUUGUUGGAGUUCUUAAGGUUGCUGUGCAAGCAUAUUUUCUUAAUAUUUGAGUAAAGUGAGUUUAGAUAUUUUAACUGAGAAAUUCGAGACAAAAUUGGUCAUAUACAAUGUGAAACACCGACACUAGACUAGACUCGACGUCACACAAACACCAACAAUAGUAGAUAAAUAUUCAGGUUAAAGUUUUCAACCUAGUCUAACCGCCACACAGUUCAUUAGAAUUUAUUGUGUUUUCUAUCUAAUUGCUUCAUACUUUAUUGGGUUCUUUUUGCAUGGACAAUGGAAAGAAGUUUUUGUGGCUUUUGCCUUCUUGAUACAUAUAGAUACUAUAUCUCUUUUGCAUGAGAUUUUAAUUGUUGAUUAGAUUACUUGUUACUGGUUCCUUGCACUUAUAUAUUUAGUUCAUAAUGCCGAUUAAUGAAUAUUUUGUUUUCAUUUAUUUCUUUCAGGAUGAUUAAUGAAUAUUUUGUUUUCAUUUAUUUCUUUAGCCCUUUCCACCUUCCGCAACACUACUAAUGCUAUGCUUUGGCUGGUUGGAUGGUUAAUGCCUCAUCAACUAUACCUGUCCCACAUCCUACAUGAUUUACAGAAUCAAGGUUAAAAAUUUGGUUUUCUUUAUGUCCUUUAUCCUAAAAAAAUGUGUUUACCUUGAUUUUGCCUCACAUCACAAGUCUACACAUCUUAGUUUUUUCACUUGUUUAGCUUCAUUUGAACAAAAUUAUGGUAACUAGUGUCCUAGCAAUUCAAAUUGCAUUUAUAAAACAAAAUUAUGUAACUAAGUGUGCAAGAUAGCAUGUUUUGAAGUUUUUUCUUAGUGUUUUAAGUGUUAGAGGGUUAUUUCUUAGUAUUUUAAGUGUUAGAGGGUUAGACAUUCUGAAGUUUUGAUCCUGUCAUUUGGUUAACAGUGUCUAGCGUCCAAGAACACCUUCAACCACUCCUGGAAUGGUUUAGGAUCAGUAGGAUCAGAAUAAUGAUCACUUCUAUGGAGGAGGUAAUAAUCUUCAGUUUAAAUAUGGUUAGGAUCAGAAUAAUGAUCACUUCUAUGGAGGAAGUAAUAAUCUUCAGUUUAAUAUAAUUAGACAUUUAUGUCAUCUUAGGUUUCUUAUCCUUCAAGGAUCUUCAAUGACAAGCAACCCGUCAUAACCCGGCCCAACCGAUUAAGAAAAUGGGCGGGAAUGACUUAUAUUCUUCGGCUUUAGGUAGUGCUAUUAAAUUAUUUUCCAUUCCCUAUGUCUAGGGAUCAAAUAGUAUAGAUGUUGGAUCAUGAGUAUCAUCCCAAUUUUUCUAAAGAAAUUUUAGUAUUCUUUGAGCAUCAUGAUCUAGUUGUACAUUGAAAAGCUCCGAUUACCCACAUAAUUUACACAAUAAAUUAAUGGUGAUUUAAUUAGAAAGCUCCUAUAAUCCACACAAUAAAUUUGAUGGAAAGUUGUUGAUUUAAUAUUUUCUUACCAUCAAAUUCCAAUAGAAGUGCAUUUUAAAUAAGUGAUUAUCGCCUACUAUAGCCUGGAUAUGGGUUUUUUCGUAAAACAGAUAUGGUUUUGCGUAAAACAAACCCAACAUACAUUUGCCAUAAGCGGUUUGCAUUGGAUUCACAUUUUCUAGAAAAAGAUUUGGAUCUCAUCAAUUUAGAACUUUCUUGAAGACAGAUGCCAAUUCAAACAUCUCAAAAAUGUGUUGCAUUUGAAAAUUAUCUGUAUGUUGAUAUUUUAAAAGCACAUCAUAGCAGAGUAAUAUUACUUCCUAUUACUUCUUGUGUAUCAUGAUAAUGAACUAUCUUUAAGAAACAUUUUAAGAUAAUUUCGAAAGUAGUUUCAAAUAUAAUAUAUUUAGAACUUAUCCUAAGAGAGAGUGUGCUACAUUAUUAUAGUGAAUUUGCUAUUGCAUAUCACAUAAUAAAAUACUUUUGCACCAAAUAUAUAUUCGGGAUAUAUCUGAGUGGGUUAUAUUCUUGAAUAGUUCAAAAGUAUUUUGAUAAGUGAUAUGCAAUAGCGAAUGCGCUAUCAUGUAUCACACUCUCUUAUAUGAUCAUGUAUCACACUAUAAUAUGAUUAUGUAUCACACUAUAAUAUGAUCAUGUAUCACACUAUAAUAUGAUCAAGUAUCACAUUCUCUUAUAGGAUUAAUUUUUAAAAUAUUAUAUCUAAAACUACUUUCAAAAUUAUCUUUAAAAUAUUUUUAAAAAAUACCUCAUCAUCAUAAGGAAGUAAUAUUAUUAUGCAAUGAUAUGCUUUUAAUUUCGAAGCUCUAAAUUGAUGAGAUCUAAAUCUUUUUCAUGGACAUGCGUUGCAAACCCCCUAUAUGACAAAUAUAUGAUAUGGGUAUUUUGAAGAUCUAAAUCGGGUAUUUUGAAGCUCUAAAAAAAUUUAGAUCUCAUCAAUUUAAAACUUAAAUUGAUGCAAACCCCCUAUAUGACAAAUCUAUGUUGGAUUUGUUUUACGAAAAAUCCCAUAUCCAGACUAUUGUAGGCGAUAAUCACUUAUUUGAAAUGCGCUUGUAUUGAAAUUUGAUGGUAAGAAAAUAUUAAAUUUUGGAAAUCACCAUUAAUUUAUUGUGUGGAUUAUGUAUGGAUAAUCGGAGUUUUUCAAUGGACAACUAGGUUAUGAUGCUCAAAGAAUAUUUAUAUUUCUUUAGAAGAAUUUGGAUGAUACUCAAGGUACAUAGAAAAAUCUAUGGUAAAUGUAUGUUGAAUCUGUUUUACGCAAAACUCGAAAUCCCAUGUCGAGACACAACCUGCAAAUCCAAAAACAUCAAAACCUUACCGUUAUGAUGUCAAUCUUCUCAAUAAAAUAAAGACAAUUGAAGAACUCUAAUGCUCUUGAGCUGAAAAAUCCUUUUAUUCAGAAAGUAAAAGACAUUAGCAUGCUUUUAUUGAAAAAGGUUGAGAAAAAAAAUUGUAGGUAAUAAUAAUAUACAGGUUGACUUACUAACUACUAAGUGAGCUCUGGGAGAUGGGGUUUUGCUAAAUUUAGAUGGACAAGGAUUAGGGGUGGACAAGAAUCCGGUAACUCGGUCCAAACCACCCGAACUCGAAAAAAAAGAAAAGAAACAAGCGGUUUAACACGGGCAUACGGGCCCACGAGUGACUAACUCAGUUUAAGGUGGUUUAUAAUGGGCGGAUCGGGUAAGAUUAACUGAAACAAGGGUACCCGGACCUGCCCAUACCCAUUAGCUGCACGAUAUCGUUUGGAUAUGCAGUACCCUCAGUUCCCCCUCACUCUCGUUUCUCUCGUCUCUCACUCUCGACUGAAUCCCUAGCACUAUCCACCACUUUUUUUCUCUCACUAACCACCGUCUCUCUCUCAUCAGCCAACGUCUUUCGACUUUUUCUCAUCAACCACAAUGACUCAACCUCACCGUCACCAUCAGUCACCAUCUCUCAUACAAACCAACAUGAUUUUGUUGCAAGGUUUGUUGUUUCUGAAUCUCCUGUUGAAGCUUAUGUCGUAAAUAGAUGAAACCUAGUACUUUGAAUUUACUAAAAGAGACUCAGAAGGCACAUUCAUCAACUCCCGGUUGCUUACAGUAGGACUACGGAAAAAUAUAUUUUUUGGUGUAGGACAUAAAUAUUAUUAACUUUUCUGUUAUUUUAUCAAUACAUAAUAGAUUUGUCAUUUCUAAAUAUUUUUUGGGGUUAGGCAGGGACAGAGCUUGUUCACUUUCUAAAGUUGCAUAUUGAUCUUCUCAGCUUCAUUUUGCUGCUACCAAAGAUGCCAUAUUUCGGCAUUUUAAUAAAUUUGGGGAAGUACUGAAAGCUGUUAUAGUUACUGAUUCAAUAACAGGGCAGUAAGAAGUUUAAGAUGUUCUUACACAUUAUAUAUGUUUAUCUGUUCAAGAUUUUUCUAUUCCUCUAUAUCAUUUCACUUUUUUUUGAAGCAGUGCAGCUUAUGUGGAGUUCACGCAUAAAGAAGCAGUAGAUAAUGCAUUAUCAUUGAAUCUAUAUGGAAGUGAAUAAAACUGUCAAAGCAAAUUUCAAUAGGAAGUGAAUAAUAAUAAUAAUGCUUUAUCAAAGUGAACACCCAUUUUAAGUUCUAACAAAACUGAACACAAUGUUUGUUAUUUCUUUGAAUCUAUAUGUUUUAUGAAUAAAUGGAUAGUUUCUUCCUUUGAAUUUUCAGUGUAGAAUUGCUAAACUUUCAGUUUCUUUGACAUUAAUUGGCCAAAUGAUUUGUCUUUCUUUUAACGCGUUAACUGGUAGAGCUGAUGAUGCUAAGCUUUUCUUUAAUCCAAAGAACUUGGGAGGAAAGCUAAGUUAUACUGAUCAUAAUCAUAAUCAAAAUUAUGAUCACCCUCUAAAUCAAAAUCCUAAUUCAGAAGGUUCAAACCAAAAUGAGUUUUUGAGCUUGGAUAGUCACCAUGAUCGUGGAAGAAAAAUGGACAAAUUUAAGAAAAGUUCCACUUUACCUACAAGAUUUGCUUCAUCAUCUUCAUCUACUUCGAUGGAUCAUUAUCAACAACAAGGUGUGGAGUAUAGGAAUUCAUAAGGUGGUAUGUACUUAGAUGUUAUGGAGAUCUUUUUGGAGUGAAUGUUGUUGGGAAGCAUGAUUUAGAAUUUGUAACUAGGAAAAGCUAGUUAUGUGUUUCUUUUUCAUGUGUUUGUUUUUCACUAUUGUGUAUGUGUUUUCUUAUGUAUUCCUCUUAAUGAAACUUUAUUAAUGAUC